rnacentral:rRNA from 1 species
GGUUAAGCGACUAAGCGUACACGGUGGAUGCCCUGGCAGUCAGAGGCGAUGAAGGACGUGCUAAUCUGCGAUAAGCGUCGGUAAGGUGAUAUGAACCGUUAUAACCGGCGAUUUCCGAAUGGGGAAACCCAGUGUGAUUCGUCACACUAUCAUUAACUGAAUCCAUAGGUUAAUGAGGCGAACCGGGGGAACUGAAACAUCUAAGUACCCCGAGGAAAAGAAAUCAACCGAGAUUCCCCCAGUAGCGGCGAGCGAACGGGGAGGAGCCCAGAGCCUGAAUCAGUGUGUGUGUUAGUGGAAGCGUCUGGAAAGGCGCGCGAUACAGGGUGACAGCCCCGUACACAAAAAUGCACAUGCUGUGAGCUCGAUGAGUAGGGCGGGACACGUGGUAUCCUGUCUGAAUAUGGGGGGACCAUCCUCCAAGGCUAAAUACUCCUGACUGACCGAUAGUGAACCAGUACCGUGAGGGAAAGGCGAAAAGAACCCCGGCGAGGGGAGUGAAAAAGAACCUGAAACCGUGUACGUACAAGCAGUGGGAGCCUCUUUAUGGGGUGACUGCGUACCUUUUGUAUAAUGGGUCAGCGACUUAUAUUCUGUAGCAAGGUUAACCGAAUAGGGGAGCCGAAGGGAAACCGAGUCUUAACUGGGCGUUAAGUUGCAGGGUAUAGACCCGAAACCCGGUGAUCUAGCCAUGGGCAGGUUGAAGGUUGGGUAACACUAACUGGAGGACCGAACCGACUAAUGUUGAAAAAUUAGCGGAUGACUUGUGGCUGGGGGUGAAAGGCCAAUCAAACCGGGAGAUAGCUGGUUCUCCCCGAAAGCUAUUUAGGUAGCGCCUCGUGAAUUCAUCUCCGGGGGUAGAGCACUGUUUCGGCAAGGGGGUCAUCCCGACUUACCAACCCGAUGCAAACUGCGAAUACCGGAGAAUGUUAUCACGGGAGACACACGGCGGGUGCUAACGUCCGUCGUGAAGAGGGAAACAACCCAGACCGCCAGCUAAGGUCCCAAAGUCAUGGUUAAGUGGGAAACGAUGUGGGAAGGCCCAGACAGCCAGGAUGUUGGCUUAGAAGCAGCCAUCAUUUAAAGAAAGCGUAAUAGCUCACUGGUCGAGUCGGCCUGCGCGGAAGAUGUAACGGGGCUAAACCAUGCACCGAAGCUGCGGCAGCGACACUAUGUGUUGUUGGGUAGGGGAGCGUUCUGUAAGCCUGCGAAGGUGUACUGUGAGGUAUGCUGGAGGUAUCAGAAGUGCGAAUGCUGACAUAAGUAACGAUAAAGCGGGUGAAAAGCCCGCUCGCCGGAAGACCAAGGGUUCCUGUCCAACGUUAAUCGGGGCAGGGUGAGUCGACCCCUAAGGCGAGGCCGAAAGGCGUAGUCGAUGGGAAACAGGUUAAUAUUCCUGUACUUGGUGUUACUGCGAAGGGGGGACGGAGAAGGCUAUGUUGGCCGGGCGACGGUUGUCCCGGUUUAAGCGUGUAGGCUGGUUUUCCAGGCAAAUCCGGAAAAUCAAGGCUGAGGCGUGAUGACGAGGCACUACGGUGCUGAAGCAACAAAUGCCCUGCUUCCAGGAAAAGCCUCUAAGCAUCAGGUAACAUCAAAUCGUACCCCAAACCGACACAGGUGGUCAGGUAGAGAAUACCAAGGCGCUUGAGAGAACUCGGGUGAAGGAACUAGGCAAAAUGGUGCCGUAACUUCGGGAGAAGGCACGCUGAUAUGUAGGUGAAGUCCCUCGCGGAUGGAGCUGAAAUCAGUCGAAGAUACCAGCUGGCUGCAACUGUUUAUUAAAAACACAGCACUGUGCAAACACGAAAGUGGACGUAUACGGUGUGACGCCUGCCCGGUGCCGGAAGGUUAAUUGAUGGGGUUAGCGGUAACGCGAAGCUCUUGAUCGAAGCCCCGGUAAACGGCGGCCGUAACUAUAACGGUCCUAAGGUAGCGAAAUUCCUUGUCGGGUAAGUUCCGACCUGCACGAAUGGCGUAAUGAUGGCCAGGCUGUCUCCACCCGAGACUCAGUGAAAUUGAACUCGCUGUGAAGAUGCAGUGUACCCGCGGCAAGACGGAAAGACCCCGUGAACCUUUACUAUAGCUUGACACUGAACAUUGAGCCUUGAUGUGUAGGAUAGGUGGGAGGCUUUGAAGUGUGGACGCCAGUCUGCAUGGAGCCGACCUUGAAAUACCACCCUUUAAUGUUUGAUGUUCUAACGUUGGCCCCUGAUCGGGGUUGCGGACAGUGUCUGGUGGGUAGUUUGACUGGGGCGGUCUCCUCCUAAAGAGUAACGGAGGAGCACGAAGGUUGGCUAAUCCUGGUCGGACAUCAGGAGGUUAGUGCAAUGGCAUAAGCCAGCUUGACUGCGAGCGUGACGGCGCGAGCAGGUGCGAAAGCAGGUCAUAGUGAUCCGGUGGUUCUGAAUGGAAGGGCCAUCGCUCAACGGAUAAAAGGUACUCCGGGGAUAACAGGCUGAUACCGCCCAAGAGUUCAUAUCGACGGCGGUGUUUGGCACCUCGAUGUCGGCUCAUCACAUCCUGGGGCUGAAGUAGGUCCCAAGGGUAUGGCUGUUCGCCAUUUAAAGUGGUACGCGAGCUGGGUUUAGAACGUCGUGAGACAGUUCGGUCCCUAUCUGCCGUGGGCGCUGGAGAACUGAGGGGGGCUGCUCCUAGUACGAGAGGACCGGAGUGGACGCAUCACUGGUGUUCGGGUUGUCAUGCCAAUGGCACUGCCCGGUAGCUAAAUGCGGAAGAGAUAAGUGCUGAAAGCAUCUAAGCACGAAACUUGCCCCGAGAUGAGUUCUCCCUGACCCUUUAAGGGUCCUGAAGGAACGUUGAAGACGACGACGUUGAUAGGCCGGGUGUGUAAGCGCAGCGAUGCGUUGAGCUAACCGGUACUAAUGAACCGUGAGGCUUAACCUU